rnacentral:rRNA from 1 species
GGUACCGUCAAUUGCCAUGGCGUAUUAGGCCAGGCUGUUUCUUCCCUAAUAAAAGUGCUUUACAACCCGCAGGCCUUCUUCACACACGCGGCAUUGCUGGAUCAGGCUUUCGCCCAUUGUCCAAUAUUCCCCA